AGUUUUAACUAGUAAAGCUAUGUUAUCCUGUGGCUCUGUGACUUGUCUAUUUUGGAGCAGGCACCACACUGUUUAAAAUCACCCUAAGGCCGAUUUUGUUAGCAGAGUGGGAGACAAUCGUUGGAGUCUGAUCUGACCGAGUCUGAGUGAAGGAUCAAAAUUUUGAUGUUUUUCAGCUGAUCACUUACGUCAAAAAUUGCAAAGUUCCCAGCAAGACAUUUAUUUGCAGCCAAGGACAUUCAUUCCUGACUCUGAUACUAUAACUGUUGACAGUCACCAUUUGGUGCCUUGACCAAACGAGAAUUAUCCACGAUCGACAGUAUCCUGAGAUUUCAUUGCUUGAACACGAGAGGUUUGGGCGGAUGAAUUCAACGCUGGUCCUAGAGUGCAGCCUGUAGAAACUCGUGGCCUGUCUACGCUCAGUCCCUAGGUUUCAUUAAGGGAAUGGAAGAGUUGAAUGUGGGACUAAAAGGCAAUUUCAACAACGUGUCACAUAUUUACUCCAAGGUUACGUUAAGGGAAUGGAUUGAGUUGAAUAAUGUUCAUAGAAAAAUAAGAUCAGCUAAAAUGUAUUAAUGUACAUUUAUACAAGAAGUGA